GCAUGGUUCUGUAACCACCAGGAAAUGAAAGUAGUUUAUUCCUCGUUUACAUCUCCUAAUAUCCGUAAACACGCGGCAGUCCGGUCCUCGUGAGAGAGGCUCCUGCAGUUAAUUUCAGCCGUUUUUGUUUUUUUUUUUGAAAUUCUUUUCAUCGGUUGAGAAGAAGCAGAACCAGCCUCCACCUCCACAAGCGGCACCAACCCGACGAGCCGCGGCCGCUUGACAGGUGCUGUCGCCCGGGCUCUGUGUGGAGAGAUGCCGCCCGUCCAGAGAACGAUGUCUGAUCUUCGUACCCGGGCAGAGGGAUAUGAAAAAACCGAGGACACAUCAGAAAAGACAUCCUUGGCCGACCAAGAAGAUGCCCGACUGAUAUAUCUCAACCAGCAACAGUUCACAAAGUUCUGCAGCAAUCGAGUCAGCACUGCCAAAUACAACGUCCUCACCUUCCUCCCUCGAUUCCUUUACUCACAGUUCAGAAGGGCGGCCAACGCCUUCUUCCUCUUCAUUGCACUCUUGCAGCAAAUCCCAGAUGUGUCUCCGACUGGUCGCUGGACCACACUGGUGCCGCUGCUCUUCAUCCUGGUGGUGGCUGCAGUCAAAGAGAUCAUUGAGGACCUGAAACGGCACAAUGCUGACAAUGUUGUCAACAAAAAGGAAUGUCAAGUGCUGAGGAAUGGUGCCUGGGAGAUUGUGCACUGGGAGAAGGUGGCUGUUGGGGAAGUAGUCAGAGCGGCAAAUGGGGAUCACCUCCCGGCUGACCUCGUCAUACUGUCGUCCAGUGAACCACAGGGGAUGUGCUACAUUGAAACAUCUAACUUGGAUGGAGAAACAAACCUCAAAAUCAGACAGGGUCUCCAGAUGACCGCAGAAAUUAAGGAGAUUGACAACCUGAUGCGCCUCUCCGGGCGGAUGGAGUGUGAAAGCCCAAACCGUCAUCUGUAUGAGUUUGUUGGGAACCUGCGCCUGGAUGGACACAGCACGGUACCACUGGGUCCAGACCAGAUCUUACUGAGGGGAGCUCAGCUGAGGAAUACACAGUGGGUCCAUGGUGUAGUGGUGUACACAGGACAUGACACAAAGCUCAUGCAGAACUCCACACGACCUCCCCUGAAGCUGUCCAACGUCGAGCGUAUCACCAACUUUCAGAUCCUGGUUCUGUUUGGCUGCCUGCUGGCCAUCUCUCUGGUCUGCUCCAUCGGCCAAACCAUCUGGAAGUACCAGUACGGCAAUGAUGCCUGGUACAUGGAUCUCAACUCUCCAGAUGGCGGGGCAGCUAACUUUGGUCUCAACUUCCUCACCUUCAUUAUCCUGUUCAACAACCUGAUACCCAUCAGUCUCCUGGUCACAUUGGAGGUUAUCAAGUUCAUCCAAGCCUUUUUCAUCAACUGGGACACUGAUAUGCUGUAUGAGCCCACAAACACGCCUGCCAUGGCCCGCACGUCCAAUCUGAAUGAAGAGUUAGGCCAGGUGAAAUACAUUUUCUCUGACAAGACGGGAACUCUGACUUGCAACGUGAUGCAGUUCAAGAAGUGCACCAUUGCCGGUGUGGCCUAUGGUCACGUCCCUGAGGCUGAGGAGGGUAGUUUUGCAGAGGACGACUGGCACAGCACACACUCAUCAGACGAGGCAGGGUUUAAUGACCCGAGCCUACUGGAAAACCUCCAAAGUAAUCACCCCACAGCUGCUGUUAUCCUGGAGUUCAUGACCAUGAUGGCCAUCUGUCACACUGCCGUCCCCGAGCGCAUGGAGGGAAAAAUCACCUACCAAGCCGCAUCUCCAGAUGAAGGAGCUCUGGUGAGAGCAGCACGAAACCUGGGCUUUGUGUUUUCUGGUCGAACCCCAGACAGCGUCAUUGUGGAAAUGCUCGGAACGGAGGAAAAGUACGAACUGCUUCAUGUGCUUGAGUUCACAAGCGUGAGGAAGAGGAUGUCAGUCAUCAUGCGCACGCCAUCUGGGAAGAUCCGCCUCUACUGCAAAGGAGCUGACACAGUGAUCUAUGACCGUCUGGCAGACAGCUCGAGGUACAAAGAGAUCACAUUGAAGCACCUGGAGCAGUUUGCCACUGAGGGCCUACGCACUCUGUGCUUUGCGGUGGCGGACAUCAGCGAGUCGUCCUAUCAGCAGUGGCACGAGAUCUACCACAGAGCCUGCACCUCCCUGCAGAACAGAGCCCUGAAACUGGAGGAGAGCUAUGAACUGAUAGAGAAGAACCUGCAGCUCCUCGGAGCCACGGCCAUAGAGGACAAGCUUCAGGAUAAGGUGCCUGAGACCAUUGAGACCCUAAUGAAAGCUGACAUCAAGAUCUGGAUCCUGACUGGAGACAAACAGGAAACCGCCAUUAAUAUUGGACAUUCCUGCAAACUACUGACCAAGAACAUGGGCAUGCUCGUGAUCAACGAAGACACUCUGGAUAGAACGAGGGAAACGCUCAGUCACCACUGUGGAAUGCUGGGAGAUGCCCUCUACAAGGAGAACGACUUUGCUCUCAUUAUUGAUGGGAAAACUCUUAAAUAUGCUCUCACGUUUGGAGUGCGUCAGUACUUCCUGGACCUCGCCCUGUCCUGUAAAGCUGUCAUAUGCUGCAGAGUGUCUCCUCUUCAGAAGUCAGAGGUGGUUGAGAUGGUGAAGAAGCAAGUGAAGGUGAUCACUCUUGCCAUUGGUGAUGGUGCUAACGACGUAGGAAUGAUCCAGACAGCUCAUGUCGGUGUGGGAAUCUCCGGCAACGAGGGUCUGCAGGCUGCAAACUCCUCUGACUACUCUAUUGCUCAGUUCAAAUACUUAAAGAAUCUGCUGCUCGUCCACGGAGCCUGGAAUUACAACCGUGUAGCCAAGUGUAUCCUGUACUGCUUCUACAAGAAUAUCGUCCUGUACAUCAUCGAGAUCUGGUUUGCAUUCGUCAAUGGCUUCUCUGGACAGAUUCUGUUCGAACGCUGGUGCAUUGGCCUGUACAAUGUGAUCUUCACUGCUUUACCCCCUCUCACUUUGGGAAUAUUUGAGCGCUCCUGCAGGAAAGAGAACAUGCUGAAAUACCCAGAACUCUACAAAACCUCCCAGAAUGCAAUGGGCUUUAAUACUAAGGUCUUCUGGGCCCAUUGUCUGAACGGCCUCUUCCACUCCGUCAUCCUCUUCUGGUUCCCCCUUAAAGCGUUCCAGCAUGAUACAGUUUUUGGCAACGGAAGAACUCCAGACUAUCUCCUUUUAGGCAACAUGGUUUACACAUUUGUGGUCAUCACAGUUUGUCUUAAAGCUGGUCUUGAAACCUCAUCCUGGACCAUGUUCAGUCACAUUGCCAUCUGGGGAAGCAUCGGCCUGUGGGUGGUGUUUUUCAGUAUCUACUCCUCCCUGUGGCCCCUCAUCUCUCUGGCACCCGACAUGUCAGGCGAGGCGAACAUGAUGUUCAGUUCAGGAGUCUUCUGGAUGGGCCUGUUCUUCAUCCCAGUCACCUCUCUGGUCUUUGACGUGGCCUACAAAGUUGUGAAGAAGGUGUGCUUUAAGACCCUGGUGGAUGAGGUGCAAGAGCUGGAGGCUUUAUCGAAAGACCCUGGAGCAGUGGUGCACGGAAAGAGUUUGACGGAAAGGGCCCAGCUCCUGAAGAACGUCUUCAAGAAGAGCACGGUCAGUCUGUACCGGUCUGACUCCAUGCAGCAGAACCUGCUCCGUGGGGAUGAGACCGUUGUUGUGUGAUUCCUUUUUUAAAUUCAUUACUCAAACCUCACCCCGUUUUUAAAUCUCCAGCCCCUCUGUAGCUCCCAGAUAGACAACACUCUCCUCUCUACUUGUCUCUGACUUCCUGUCCUCCCCCUGGUGUGCCUCCGUGUGUCCUGAGUUGAGCUCAGUAGAGCCAGAUAACGGUGAAAUGAUGAAAUGUUGCGCUGUUAUUCCCCCACAAUGCACUCGCCUCAGCGGGGUCCUUUGAACUUGCCCGCUGGCCUCCAGGUACAGAGCGAGUCAUUUGACACCUGAAGAUGGCUACGCCUUCUCUCAAGACGAGAACGGAGUGGUGUCUCAGUCUGAGGUCAUCAGAGCGUACGACACCACCAAACAAAGGACCAACGAGUGGUGAGCCGCCGGCCUUCUUGUUCCCGGCCGGUCAGUUCGGAGCCACAGCAGCUGUUUCUAAUGGCGACAUUUGAAGCUCAGCGGUGGUGCGAGCAUGUGCCUCCAGCACUGAAGAGGGGUUUGGGACAUGAAACGGACUGAGGAGAGUGACAUUGUGUAGUCUUUGAAAAAGGGAAAAAAAAAAAAAACAAGGAACAAAACAAAAUGUGUUCACUAUCAGCUGUAGUUGUGUGUCCAGCAGACAUGAUGAGCACUGUGCUUUCUUAGCAGUCUGUGGUCUGAAGUUCUUCACUGUUCUCGCUCAGUUUGUCGGAGUGAACCUUUCUAUUCAUUUGAGGAAUGACAGCUUGUAACGCUGAGCCAAAAAGCCUAAAAUCAUUGUGUUAAAUUGAAAUCAAACUCCUAAACACUGUUAUUAUAAAAGUUAAAACACUGGACAAUGAGUCGUUUUAGAGGAUUUGAACUUUUUGAAGGAUUGCCAAAGAGCAGUCGUGUAUACAAUCGUCCAAGUACUAGUGAAUUCGGAAAAACCAAAUAUAAUUAAACUCCUGAGUGUACUCCAGCACUAAACAGACCACUUCAGAGCAGACGUUUGUAAGAUUUUUCAUUUUCUUUUUGCACUUAAGGUAAAGCCUUACAUUUGCUCAUGCCUUCGUCCCUUUUCUUUACUUUUAAAAUGCAUUUCUGUUCCUUUUUCGUUUCGUUUUUAAGUAUGAAGAUAUGUGCCUGGCUUUUCUGUAUUUACCUUUUUUUUUUCUUUCCUUUUUUCUUUCUUUUUUUUUUUUUUUUUAGAAGUUGCCUCCUGCAACAGACAGUAGUCCCACCAUUUUUACAGCAGAGGUAUUGCUCUUCACCUACAAUAGCAUUCCACACAUCAAUCACUCCUGUUUCAACAACAAUCACAACGGUGCCUACAUAAAAAAAACGUUUCCCUCUUAGAAGAAAACGACGGCCAGGAAUAGUUUUUUAGCCAGCUAGCUUAGACCAGUGCUCCACACACACCUACUGAAGACAAACCACUGUCUCCCCACCACAGUAUUGCACUCCUUCAGUGUGAAAACUACAGAUUUGUUCCUGCACAGGUGAAUCGGAGGCUCCCUGAUUGGUCUCGUCGAAGCUGACAGUGGUGGCAGUGUUUCCCUUAAAAUGGAGAUUUUAUCCUUCUAACAUAAGUGCCAUUAGCUUAAGGGAGAGAGAAAAAAAAAAAACAUCAGCCAGGAAACUCCACCACAGUAUCAAAACUACUUUGUCUCUAUAGUUAUUUUGUGGAUUUGUAUUUUUAUAUUGGAGAUGUAUGAAUUUUGCAUCGACUGGCUUUGUAAUGAAUCGUCUGUAACUUUGAGUUUUUUCUUCCUCUGAUAAACUGGCAGGAUAGAAUAGAUCUAACGAGGAAACUGAGCUUUCUUAAAUGUCUUGUUAUUAUUAAUAUUAAUAUUGUUACAGCUUGAUUUAUUUAUAAUUGACUACUUAAUGUCUGUGUGAUUGCUUUCUUCUCCCUAUGGGAGAUCAGAUUUCUGAUGGUGUGAGUGUCAGUUUAUUGCCUGCAUGUGCAUGUGCUGUGUGUGUGUGUGUGUGUGUGUGUGUGUGUGUGUGUGUGUGUGUGUGUGUGCGGGUGUGUGUGUGUGUGUGGUAUGUGUGUGUGGUAUGUGUGUGUGGCACCUUUCUGUGGAUAACCUCUAUGUAUGCACUGCAUGUCUGUGUCCUCUGUGUGAGACUGAGAGUUUCAGGUGCUUCAGUCCUGUCGGUGUGUUUAUUUUAUUGUGUACGAGUGUGUGUGUAUGGCUGCGUGUGUGUUAUGCUUGCUCCAGUUGUCCGUCUGCACGACUCCAGGUAUAGCUAUGGUGUACUGCUGUGUGCGCCGAUGCAUGGCCCGUAUGGGAACGUGAGACUGUGCGUUAUGAUUGUGUGUUUGUGGUCAAACUCUCGGCCUCGACUGUGGGAGUUCCUGACGCUCGGCUCGCUUCGACAGGAGAUGUUGCACAAUGCACUCGAUGUACCUUUCCAGUUGUGGAUAUCUGGUAUUAUCUUGGUUUCGGUAUAUGAUUUCUCUUGAGUGUACAUGUCUGUAACUUGUUUUCUUCAUACAGUGAACUUCUGCUUUACGGGAGAGCUCUUUUGUGUUUAUUUCUCUCUGCUGGUCUUGACCGUGAAAACGUAACCGGUUGUCAUCUCAUCAAAAGUUUGCAACCAGCUGAAUGUGGGUGUCGUCGUCGUGGAAGGCUUGGACUGUUGCUUUCUUUUUUUUUUUCCAGAAAACAUAAAACACACGUUGUUGUCCGUGACGGUCGUGGGCUGCAUGAAUGGAAAACACAAACCGUUCUCUGAAGUGUUAACUGUACUACUUUGAUUCUCCCUCGAGUGUUGAUCACUUAACAAAAGAGGAAAAAAAUGCACCUUUAACUUUUCUUUUGGAUAUUUGGUUCCUUUCUGUCGUUCUGUUCAAUGAUUGUUCUGCAUGUUGGGACUGCAAACUUAUAAGUGUCGUCUUUUACUGCCAUGAAGGACUACUGAAAUAAACUUUACAAUCAUGGAGGAACAAUGGGAA